rnacentral:ncRNA from 2 species
AAAAAAUUGAUGAAAAAAUUUCGUAUAACUCCAAUGAUAUGGUUUGGGGGUCUCUACCAGGAACCGAUAAUUCCUGAUUACGAAGAAGGUACAUGUACGU